GAGGAGGAGGAGGAAGAAGGACAAGGAUGGAAAAUACAAGAGAACAAAGAUUAAGAGAAAGACUAGAUAAAAGAGAGGAGGAGCAGGAGGAGGAGGAGGAGGAGGAAGAAAAGUCUGAUUGAUUAAGAAAAAACAACAAGGAAAAGGUUAAUCUAUCUCCGUUUCCCCCCCUGGACAGAAUGGUUUAAUUAAGAAAAAACAACAAGGAAAAGGUUAAUCUAUCUCCGUUUCCCCCCCUGGACAGAAUGGUUUAAUUAAGAAAAAACAACAAGGAAAAGGUUAAUCUAUCUCCGUUUCCCCCCCUGAACAGAAUGGUUUAAUUAAGAAAAAACAACAAGGAAAAGGUUAAUCUAUCUCCGUUCCCCCCCUGGACAGAAUGGUUUAAUUAAGAAAAAACAACAAGGAAAAGGUUAAUCUAUCUCCGU